CCGCCCCCCCGACGGCAGCAGCAGAGGUGGCGGUCGAGAGUCGGGAAGUCCACCGCUGCGGGUGGUAGCGCUGACAGCGCUAAGUCUAACGUGCCUGACGGCAGUGGCGGCGGCGGAGGCCACAGCGCAGUGCACACUGCCAACGACAUGCUGGUGACGGCGGACAACCUGCAAGUGGUCGCGGCCGCCAAGGCAGCCAUCGCCGG
rnacentral:lncRNA from 1 species